GAUGAACGCUGGCGGCGUGCUUAACACAUGCAAGUCGAACGGAAAGGCUCCUGCUUGCAGGGGUACUCGAUUGGCGAACGGGUGAUUAACACGUGUGUGAACUGCCCUGCACUUCGGUAUAAGCCUGGGAAACUGGGUCUAAUACCGGAUAGGACGAUGGUGUGGAUGCCAUUGGGGAAAGUUUUGUCGGUUGGGGGUGGGCUCGCGGCCUAUCGGCUUGUUGGUGGGGUGAUGGCCUAGCAAGGCGUCAACGGGUAGCCGACCUGAGAGGGGGUACGGCGAAACUGCGACUGAGCUACGGCACAGCCUCAUAUCGGACGCAGCGGUGGGGAAGAUUGCAUAAUGGGCGCAAGGCUGAUGCAGCGACGCCACGUGGGGGAUGACGGGCAGCGCGUUGUAAACUAAAGUCGCUAGAGCCAAGGAGAAAGUGACGGUACCUGGAGAAGAAGCCCCGGCUAACUACGUG
rnacentral:rRNA from 1 species